GACGAACGCUGGCGGCGUGCUUAACACAUGCAAGUCGAACGGAAAGGCCCUGCUUUUGUGGGGUGCUCGAGUGGCGAACGGGUGAGUAACACGUGAGUAACCUGCCCUUGACUUUGGGAUAACUUCAGGAAACUGGGGCUAAUACCGGAUAGGAGCUCCUGCUGCAUGGUGGGGGUUGGAAAGUUUCGGCGGUUGGGGAUGGACUCGCGGCUUAUCAGCUUGUUGGUGGGGUAGUGGCUUACCAAGGCUUUGACGGGUAGCCGGCCUGAGAGGGUGACCGGCCACAUUGGGACUGAGAUACGGCCCAGACUCCUACGGGAGGCAGCAGUAGGGAAUCUUCCGCAAUGGGCGAAAGCCUGACGGAGCAACGCCGCGUGAGUGAUGAAGGUCUUCGGAUCGUAAAACUCUGUUAUUAGGGAAGAACAUAUGUGUAAGUAACUGUGCACAUCUUGACGGUACCUAAUCAGAAAGCCACGGCUAACUACGUG
rnacentral:rRNA from 1 species